GUGCUUGUUUUGGCAGCACAUAUACUAAAACUGGAAUGACACACAGAAGGUUAGCACGGCCCCUGCGCAAGGAUGACAGGCAAAUUCAUGAAGCAUUCUAUAUUUUU